GUGCUUGCUUGGCAGCACAUAUACUAAAAUUAGAAUGAUACAGAGAAAAUUAACAUGAGCCCUGUGCAAGGAUGACAUGCAAAUUCGUGAAACAUUCUAUAUUUAA